UACGUAGGGGCCGAGCGUUGUCCGGAGUUAUUGGGCGUAAAGCGCGCGCAGGCGGCUUCGCGCGUCCGACAUGAAAGCCCCCGGCUUAACCGGGGAGGGUCGUUGGGUACGGCGGAGCUUGAGGGCGGGAGAGGGUGGUGGAAUUCCCGGUGUAGUGGUGAAAUGCGUAGAGAUCGGGAGGAACACCUGUGGCGAAGGCGGCCACCUGGGCCGACCCUGACGCUGAGGCGCGAAGGCGUGGGGAGCGAACGGG
rnacentral:rRNA from 1 species